rnacentral:pre_miRNA from 1 species
UCGGAUCCCAUGCAAAAGGGCCUUCACAUGGGAAUCUUCUGACAUGAAAGGUCCUAUGUGUGGGGCACAAGGAUGUAC